GCACUGAUGGUCUAACGGCAAGACUCCUCCGUCGUAACGAGGUAAUGCGGGUUCGAUUCCGGCUCGGUGCUC
rnacentral:tRNA from 1 species